UACAGAGGGGGCGAGCGUUGUUCGGAAUUACUGGGCGUAAAGGGCGCGUAGGCGGCCAACUAAGUCAGACGUGAAAUCCCUCGGCUCAACCGGGGAACUGCGUCUGAUACUGGAUGGCUUGAAUUCGGGAGAGGGAUGCGGAAUUCCAGGUGUAGCGGUGAAAUGCGUAGAUAUCUGGAGGAACACCGGUGGCGAAGGCGGCAUCCUGGACCAACACUGGACGCUGAGG
rnacentral:rRNA from 1 species